GUCAGUGUCGUCUAGUGGUUAGGACGCGAGCUUCACACGCUCGAGUCGAGGGUUCAAUCCCCUCCUCUGAUA
rnacentral:tRNA from 1 species